UAACACAUGCAAGUCGAGCGGAAACGAGUUAACUGAACCUUCGGGGAACGUUAACGGCGUCGAGCGGCGGACGGGUGAGUAAUGCCUGGGAAAUUGCCCUGAUGUGGGGGAUAACCAUUGGAAACGAUGGCUAAUACCGCAUAAUGCCUUCGGGCCAAAGAGGGGGACCUUCGGGCCUCUCGCGUCAGGAUAUGCCCAGGUGGGAUUAGCUAGUUGGUGAGGUAAUGGCUCACCAAGGCGACGAUCCCUAGCUGGUCUGAGAGGAUGAUCAGCCACACUGGAACUGAGACACGGUCCAGACUCCUACGGGAGGCAGCAGUGGGGAAUAUUGCACAAUGGGCGCAAGCCUGAUGCAGCCAUGCCGCGUGUGUGAAGAAGGCCUUCGGGUUGUAAAGCACUUUCAGUCGUGAGGAAGGUGGUGUAGUUAAUAGCUGCAUUAUUUGACGUUAGCGACAGAAGAAGCACCGGCUAACUCCGUGCCAGCAGCCGCGGUAAUACGGAGGGUGCGAGCGUUAAUCGGAAUUACUGGGCGUAAAGCGCAUGCAGGUGGUUAGUUAAGUCAGAUGUGAAAGCCCGGGGCUCAACCUCGGAACUGCAUUUGAAACUGGCUGACUAGAGUACUGUAGAGGGGGGUAGAAUUUCAGGUGUAGCGGNGAAAUGCGUAGAGAUCUGAAGGAAUACCAGUGGCGAAGGGCGGCCCCCUGGACAGAUACUGNCNCUCAGAUGCGAAAGCGUGNGNGANCANNAGGAUUAGAUACCCGGGNAGUCCACCGCCGUAAACAAUGUCUACUUGGAGGGUGGG
rnacentral:rRNA from 1 species